rnacentral:rRNA from 1 species
GACGAACGCUGGCGGCGUGCCUAAUACAUGCAAGUCGAACGAGAGCGACCGGUGCUUGCACUGGUCAAUCUAGUGGCGAACGGGUGAGUAACACGUGGGUAACCUGCCCAUCAGAGGGGGAUAACAUCCGGAAACGGAUGCUAAAACCACAUAGGUCUUCGAACCGCAUGGUUUGAAGAGGAAAAGAGGCGCAAGCUUCUGCUGAUGGAUGGACCCGCGGUGCAUUAGCUAGUUGGUGAGGUAACGGCUCACCAAGGCCGUGAUGCAUAGCCGACCUGAGAGGAUGAUCGGCCACAUUGGGACUGAGACACGGCCCAAACUCCUACGGGAGGCAGCAGUAGGGAAUCUUCCGCAAUGGACGCAAGUCUGACGGAGCAACGCCGCGUGAGUGAAGAAGGUUUUCGGAUCGUAAAACUCUGUUGUUAGAGAAGAACAAGUGCUAGAGUAACUGUUAGCGCCUUGACGGUAUCUAACCAGAAAGCCACGGCUAACUACGUG